UCCCAGGCUGCUGUCCUCUAUGUGGACAUCCUCUCUCGGCACUUUAAGAACCUAGAAUCCAAUGUCCGUUGGAUAACUUGCAGCUUAGCAUUUCUUCUCGGAGCUCUCAUGACGUUCUAUAGUUGUGUCAUUGUCCACGUGGGAUCUGUAACGAGGCUCCUCAUAAUGGCAUACGGAGCCGCCACCGGUCCCUUCGUGGGUCUUUUUAUUCUGGCCAUUGUUUUCCCUUUCGUGCAUUCAAAAGGAGCAGGAAUAUCGACACUGCUCAUGCUAGCUGCUCAAGUUGUUGCACUGUGGAGGUCAAUUCACAGUGGCAUCAAGCCGCCACAUAUGCCCGUAUCAC
rnacentral:lncRNA from 1 species